AGUGAUCGCUGGCGGCGUGCUUAACACAUGCAAGUCGAGCGGACUUCAGCAGCUUAUCGCUGAGGUUAGCGGCAGACGGGUGAGUAAUACUUGGGCUAUCUGCCCUUGAGUGGGAAACAACCUGCCGAAAGGCGGGCUAAUGUCCCAUAAGACCACGGAGAGGCAUCUCUCAGAGGUCAAAGCUCCGCAAGGGGCGCUUGAGGAGGAGCCCGAGUCCUAUCAUGGUUGUUGGUGAGGUAACGGCUCACCAAGCCUUUGACGGGUAGCCGGCCUGAAA
rnacentral:rRNA from 1 species